CCUCCACGAAAAAAGGCAUAAAAGCCUUAUCAAAGAAUCACACUUCUAUGAAUUANUAAACUAAUUUUUGAUGAUCCGAUAUUCGAUCAACGAACCAAGUUACCCUGGGGAUAACAGCGCAAUCCACCUCAAGAGCUCCUAUCGACAAGUGGGUUUACGACCUCGAUGUUGGAUCAGGGUACCCCAGUGGUGCAGCAGCUACUAAAGGUUCGUUUGUUCAACGAUUAAAACCCU
rnacentral:rRNA from 1 species